GUUUUGAUCCUGGCUCAGGAUGAACGCUGGCGGCGUGCCUAAUACAUGCAAGUCGAGCGAACGGACGAGAAGCUUGCUUCUCUGAUGUUAGCGGCGGACGGGUGAGUAACACGUGGAUAACCUACCUAUAAGACUGGGAUAACUUCGGGAAACCGGAGCUAAUACCGGAUAAUAUUUUGAACCGCAUGGUUCAAAAGUGAAAGACGGUCUUGCUGUCACUUAUAGAUGGAUCCGCGCUGCAUUAGCUAGUUGGUAAGGUAACGGCUUACCAAGGCAACGAUGCAUAGCCGACCUGAGAGGGUGAUCGGCCACACUGGAACUGAGACACGGUCCAGACUCCUACGGGAGGCAGCAGUAGGGAAUCUUCCGCAAUGGGCGAAAGCCUGACGGAGCAACGCCGCGUGAGUGAUGAAGGUCUUCGGAUCGUAAAACUCUGUUAUUAGGGAAGAACAUAUGUGUAAGUAACUGUGCACAUCUUGACGGUACCUAAUCAGAAAGCCACGGCUAACUACGUGCCAGCAGCCGCGGUAAUACGUAGGUGGCAAGCGUUAUCCGGAAUUAUUGGGCGUAAAGCGCGCGUAGGCGGUUUUUUAAGUCUGAUGUGAAAGCCCACGGCUCAACCGUGGAGGGUCAUUGGAAACUGGAAAACUUGAGUGCAGAAGAGGAAAGUGGAAUUCCAUGUGUAGCGGUGAAAUGCGCAGAGAUAUGGAGGAACACCAGUGGCGAAGGCGACUUUCUGGUCUGUAACUGACGCUGAUGUGCGAAAGCGUGGGGAUCAAACAGGAUUAGAUACCCUGGUAGUCCACGCCGUAAACGAUGAGUGCUAAGUGUUAGGGGGUUUCCGCCCCUUAGUGCUGCAGCUAACGCAUUAAGCACUCCGCCUGGGGAGUACGACCGCAAGGUUGAAACUCAAAGGAAUUGACGGC
rnacentral:rRNA from 1 species